rnacentral:ncRNA from 1 species
GUUCUUCGGGGCAGGGUGAAAUUCCCUACCGGCGGUACAGUCCGCGAACCGCAUCUGCGGCCGAUUCGGUGUGAUUCCGAAACCGACAGUAUAGUCUGGAUGAGAGAAGAC